UCAAAUGUAUCUAUUGAACAUGCUAUCAAGGGCCCAUGCUAGCAAAUUAUGGGAUCUGACUAGUUUAAAUGAGCCAGAGCGAAAACCAUUAAGAUUAAUUGUGCCGAAUGAUGGUGCCAAAUUUUUGGCCUAGGUGGUCUAAGCUCCUUUUGCCCUAGAAAUCGGCUGGCGACAGAGAGCAAGCAUGGUCCGAGCUUGGGCCAACUAGUCCCCUC
rnacentral:lncRNA from 1 species